rnacentral:lncRNA from 1 species
GCCUCGCCAGGUGCCGGGGACGUCUCCAGACGUGCCAAUUCUUCCUCUUCGUGCCAGAGACGUCUCUGGGACAAACCGGAGACGUCUCGGCUGUCCUUGAUCUGUUUUCUUUAUCUCAAAAAAUCUUCAAUAAAUCCUUGAAAAAUAUGGGAACAUGCCUUGACAAUUCUUAACAAUAUUCUUAGUUAAACACCUGAAAUCCUCAAAUAAAUUGUUAAUAUAAAGGAAAUUAUACUCUAGUAUUUUGUAUUCAUCAAAAUCCAUUAGGGGGUCAACACAAACCCACCGCCAUCUCUCCUGCCACCAUCCAACAUGGAUUUAUCGAAAUUGACCUUGAGAAAACUCAGGGGUAGGGGCUUCUAGGUGAAAAAUAUCACACGAGAUGCUCCCUGAAUAGAAUGGAGGUCCUAGAUGUCCCGAGCUAUCAAAGGCCUAUGUGCUAAGCCUGCAUGCAUGAUCUCUACCGUCUGUGUCCUAGCGCACUCCAUGAUGAACCUCAGGAACAGACUCCUCUUGUCAAAAGUCUAAGUGUUCCAUGCCAGCCAGAUCUAAUAAUCUGUGCAGGUCGCUCCAACAGCCACCGGCACAUUUGGGGGACCCCGAACCACUGCUGAAUUGCCUGUAGGAAAGGCCCCAUCCCACUCCAUGCAGCUUGCGAGAUCUCGACGAGCCUCCAGACCUCCUGGCCCAUCAUAUCAGAACAGGACAUGAUCCACUAUCUCAUCCACCCGAUAGUCCGAACACUAGGGUUGAAUGCCUACCCAGCACUAAUGUCGUCGGCAAGCGCUCCCAGAUCACCUUCCAAAAAAAUAAUACUAUCCUCGGAUGGAGUCCGAAGCUCUAGAUCCAAGCACAAUCCAUCCUAGGCCUAUGCUCCGGCUAGAGGACGCGGAAGACAUCUCCCACCCUAAUACUGGUUCUGCAAGACGUGCUCCAAAUCCUCACAUCUGGGCCAACACAUCUCAGAACCGGAUAGUCAACUCCCUUAGUGAAAGAUUAAUUACAUUCUUAGUUUACAGUUCGUGAAUCAAUAUCCUUUUGAUUGAGGGCACUGGUUUCAUGUUUCGCCUAUAAGUGUGGAUCAUGUGCAACAAACCAUUGUUCAUGAUGGAGAUUAAAUAUAUUUGAUUAAGGGUUAGGUCUGUUUCAAUCACAUUUGUCCUUGUAGUUCACUCUAUAUUAAACUAAAUAUGCUUCAACUUUUAUUUGCACUAUAGAUUGACAUGCACAAAAUUGGCAUAUCCAUCUUCGUUCUUAUUAGUUUGUUCCUCUUAGAUUAAUCACAGCAGGUGGUUCAGUUAAACAGUUUAUGAUUCACAAGCUCAUAGAACCAUGUGCAUAGAAUUUAUUUUGGCUGACUCUAUUAAAUUCCAAAAUUUUCAACUUUUCUAAAAGCAACCAGGUUAAGAGUCAGUUGAAAUAGCCAACAUACACAUGCUGAUUACUUAAUAAAUUGACCUAAAAGUCUGUAUUAAUAAUUAAUCUUCUUAACUUAGAGGCUGUCCAUCAAUAAUCAUGGUCUUCGGUUUUAGGCCUUGCAGUCCAUUUGAGCUCAAAAUCAUAAAACCCUAACCAGCUUGGUCUUGGACUGAAAUCAUAUGUUCCUAGAAUAUGCUGGGGGCCAAUUUUAGCACAGCUCGACCGAGGAGUUGUUGGGGCAUUCCUGGGCCGGAUUUGGGCAUCGCCCGGGCAUGUGGUUUUAACUUUCCGCUAAGUAUAAAUGAAAUCUAGGGGUGGAAGUCAAGCAUGAUGCAUCUAUAAGUUCGCUGCCCUAUGGGCUGCUGCAAAACGUAAGCUGGAUUGGCUUCUUAUACAAAAUCCUUACCCGAGAACAAUCUCAAAAAGGCGUAGACCCAGUUCUCAAAUGGAAAAUGCUUUGAGUGCACGUGAUGUGCUGACAAAAAUUAGGUCUACUUACCAACCCAUCAUGUUUGGCAACAAAAUUCUGGAGCACCUCUUACCACAUAAUGAGAGAAUUGUUUGUGUGCACUUAAAAAGGAGUCAUGUAGAAUUAUUUUCUUAAAUAAUGAAGUUAGCAUUGGUUUGGCUUGUUAAUUAUUUUUCUUGAAAAUUUCAAAAAAGGCAGGAUUUAUAGCCUUCUUAGAGCCUAUUGGGCUAUUUCUAUAGAGUUGGCCUCAAAAUCUUGUAGGAUCCGUAGAUAGGGCCAUCUAAUUAAGUAUGGUCUUGUAUCAACCAAACUCCAUCCAGCUCAAAUACUAUGGAAAGAAAAAAAAAUCUCCAUAAGUCUUUUUUUUCUUUUUGCAGCCAAAAAGCUAGAAUCUAGAAUGGAUUUGAAGAAGAAGGGAAAAAAAAAAGAAUUUUCAGGCCAAACUUAUAGAAAUAUCCAAACAAGCUCUUAGAGAUAUUUAGAUAAAAACAGAUUUCUCUUUUCUUUGUUUUUUUCUUCUUUUUUUUUUGUGAUUUGAAAGAGGUCGUCAAAAUUGGUUGCAGCUUAAAUACAAAAUUUCAAGGCCGACUCGGAUCCUAAUUGCAGAAGCUUAAGCAAGCUUGUGAUCAUUUAUUGCAAGCCUAUAUAUUGUUCGGCUUUGUUUCAUUUUCAGCCCUGGAGCCAAUCGUUCAUUGAAGGUGCCGUCAGACAAUGAAAGGCUGGUAUUGUAAUCUUCUGAAUUCCAAAUAAUAGCUUAAAUGUUUCAUGUGGCCUACAGAACAUUUAUGGCUGAGACAUCCAUCUCGUCUGACUCUCAAUUAGAAUGUCACAAGAUAAUGUGAAACAAGUUAUAUGCAUUAAUGCUUCAAAGUAAUUUAAACAAAUAAGUCAUAACAUCAAAUUCUUCUACUACUACAUUUGAUCUAAGAUUUUUGAGAGAGAGAGAUAGCUAGAGAGAGAGGGAGUUGUUGUUGGAAAACCAUACAUGCUGCAGAAAAAUAAAAUCACAGCAGAAUUUGAUAAAACAUAAGAGAAAGAUCAUAAGAGAAGAUGCAUUCACGGUUGUUCAUCUCAUGAACAUAUUAAAAAACCAUUCGUAGAUGGAUUAAGAUUAAAACAUAAGAGAAAGAUCAUAUAUUCACCUUGUGCGGGUAGAUUUUCACCAGAAUUUGAUAAUCAUGGAAAACUUAAAAUAUUCGCUUGAAGCCGCACACACGUCCAGCUUCUACAGGUAUCCACACGAGGAAGUAGAUCGAUCCAAGUCUCUAUAUCUCAUCAGGGUGCUGCCUCCCAUGUAGAGAUCACUUUUAAUGGUUGAAUCUCUCUUGAACAAUCAACUCUUGAUUGCUCUCAAGAGGAAGAAGAAGGAUGAAGGGAGGAGAUGAGGGCCACACCCUUUCUUUUCCCUUUGGCUUGCGGAAGAAGAAGAAAGAAGAAAAGGAGGGCGCACGGGAUCAAAAGAAAAGGUGAGAGAGGAGGCUGGCCCCUUCUUUUCCUUUUAUUUUGUUGCCCUAGGCGUGGAGCUCCUAAAAAUUAGGAGCUCAUGCAUGCCUAGCCUUAUUAAGAGGGGCACACGCCCCUCCUUUCUUUUGGGCAUGAUAGAGUCCUCCUCUAAGGAGGAUUAGGUGGCCUAAUUUUAAUCCUUAUCUAAUAAGAAGUCUUCUUUCUGAACAUGACUCAAUUUUGGACUCUAGGACUCUUAAUCCUUAUCUAAUAAGGAGUCCUACUGCAAUUAGGAUUCUUCAUCCUUAUCUAAUAAGGAGUCCUAUUGCAAUUAGGAUUCUUCAAUUAAGAUUCUCAGUCCUAAUCUAAUUAAUACUCUAGGAGUCCUACUCCAAGUAGGACUCUUAAACCUUAUCAAUAGGGUUAAACCCAAUUCAUUUAGUCCAAUUGAAUCAAUCAAAUUGCAAUCCAUUUGCAAUUCUUCUUUCUUCAACUUACUAAAUCUUAGUGAGUUAAACCAAUUAUCAAUCAAAUUGAUAAUCAUGAUCUAUUGCGAUUCCAAAUCGCAAUCCAACCAUCGGAUCAGUCAAUACCUUUUAUGUGUGUGACCCUAUAGGUUCUAUUCUAUCUGGUAGUGAGAUAUAUUGUAAUUCCUAUCACAAUAUCAUUAAAACUUCUUUCAAUGGGUUAGAACAAUUCUAACUUAUCUCAGCAGGGAUCACUGACCAUCAAGAUAAUUCAUGUGAUUCUUGCCAUCUACCAGUGACAUCUAGUAGCAUGUAGUGGCAACCCAGCAGACUGAAAUAGAUGAAUCUCUAGAUGCAGUUAUCGUAUGAUCCAGUCCUUCUAUCGUGGAUUCCUACAAGACGGAGGUCAUGGAUAACUUGUCAAACCCCAUCGUCUGUCAUAUAUCAAGAUUUAUUCGACUUUAGUUCGAAAGCGGAAAACUCCUUUUCCACUGUAUAUACUGACUCAGCCGAAAUCUUUCGAACUCAGUCUCAUAAAUUACAUAGGACCACUUCUUAUCUACCAAGGUCAAUAGAUUCAAUGUAGGUGCACACCCUACUCCUACAGUGAACCUACUGCAGCCAAUCUGCACCACAAGGAUUCAUAUAGCUAGAAACCAUGUAUAUGUGUAGUUAAACUACAGCAACCUUACUGUGAAUAGCCGAGACACUACAAGUCAAAGGACCAGUCAUACCACUGCAACAUCAAGUAAGUCACUCGAGUGGAUAGACAUCCAAAUGACUUCUUACGUUGGUCAUGCUCGGUAUCCUUAUUCUCUAACAAGCACUUGCACUAUUACUCCAGUGUCUCUACACUAUGGACUCGAGACUCGUCCAUCCAAAAGAAAAGCGAUCCAUGCACUAAUCUCACCGGAUCAAUCACCGUCCCCGUGAUGAUCCAUUGAUGAGGAGCAUUUAGGAAUUAAUCACCAAUGACACAUAGCUCAAAGUCUCAACUCUUGAGAAUAUGUAUCAUCAUCUUAUUAAUUUCUUAGAUGAUUCAUGGACACAUACACAAUAUGAAUGAAAAAAGAUAUCCAAUAUUAUUAAAUAAUAACAAAGUCAAGUACAAAACUAUGUCCCCAAAUAAAUAAUGUAUCAGCCAGAUGGGCUUCUAGGGCAUAUAUUUAACAGUUGUGUAGAUUGAAUAUGCGCUUAGGUUAUAACUAUUUUAGGGACUAGUCGUAACCCAUCAAGUCUAGGUGUGGCUUACCAUAUGCUGUGUUGAAGACUUCAACAUUAAUUCACUUACGUAUUUGUUUGAUUGUUGAAAAAUAAUGCUUUUCAUUUCAGCCAACUUGACAUAAAAAUUGGUGUACAUUGCAAGGCAACAAUCAUUCAUACAAGUCAAUAAAACAUAAUGCCAGAAUAGAUGCUACUUCUCUUAAAGAAAAAGAGAGCCUGAUGCACAUUGUCUACAAUCUUUCAAAUAUGAGCCUAAGAAGGAUAUGAAUGGAGACAAUAUCAUAUCGUUUGGUAUACGCUCAUGUCAUGUCCUCAAGUUUACCAUUGGUCAGCGCUUUGGGCUCCCACGUCUACGUUAUAGAGGUCAUGCGGCGACCGCCGUGUUGUUUGGACCACGAGGAGGGUCGGCCAUGGUGGAAAUUGGAAGAAAUGGAAGAAGAGGUAACAAAAAGCUAAGGAUCUGAUCAAAGGAGGGCAAUCAACAGAUGGGACAAGAAAUGAUUCAAGGAUGAGCUCAUGUUACUCGAUUGCAGGAAGACUAGGAGCAUCAUUUUGUAUUUCCAACUUUUGCUUUAGAAGCGAUAUUGGGAAAUGCCUUUCAUUGCCGUGUGAUGAUGGGAAAAAAAGUGAGGAUGAAAUGACAUGGAGACCGCAAUAUAGCUUCACCGCAGUCAAUUCUCACUGAUCAGCUUUUUGUCUAUUAGAAGUCUUCCUGUCACCCUAGCUUAUAACCUAAUCUAUGUCAUAGCUUGAUCUUGUGAUUUCAAUAUUGCAUUUGAAGUACCUCACUCUUGAGAAUUCUAAAAUCUCAUUGUAAGCUUAGCGAUCAUUCCUUUGUUUUCUUAUAUAUUUUAUAUUUAGUUCUAGCACACUUAGCAUGUACGUUUUAUCCAAUUAGGUUUUUCUGUCCCCAUUGUUUUACACGCUAGGAAUUAAAUAUACAAUGGCUAUCAAAAUCAAAUAUCAAGAAUAAAAUUUCGAAUCAACAAGAAGUAAAUAUAAAAUUGCAGUCAAUCCAAUAAGUGGCCCCAAUUUUUCUUAAUCUUAUUUUUUUUUAAUAUUACAAACUAUUGGAUUUAUGAGGGAAGAAAAGGCAAGAAGCCAAAAGAAAUUGGGCUUAACCUCAUAAAACCAAGCAUACUCAAACACCAUUUUUGUUUAGAUGCAAAAAUUGGAAGAUGCUACUCAAGAAUGUCUAGAUCUAUGGUUAAGCCCGUCACAUGCUCGAUUAAUAUCAAUUCCUUCACAAUCUACUCAUCAACAUCUAGUUUACAAGGCUAAAGAGAGCCUUAGAUACUAAAGAGCAUGCUUACAUACACAUACAUACAUAUAUGCAUAUAUGUAAACACAUGCAUGCAUGCAUGCAUAGAGAAGCACAAAAUUGUAUUUGACAUUUUAUAGCAACUAAAAUUGUCCUAGCUCUACAAUUUAUACCGCUAACUCAACCAGACACAACAUAUAAGAUGACCAAUCUGCAAUUUUAUGAAACAUGUGGCUCCAUCAUCCAUCUCUGACAUGUCCAAAGUAAACUCAACAUUGUGCCUCCUAGCUAGCAUAAAUGCAUGUGUUACAGACAUAGCUUCACUAUAACACUGACAUGAUGGCGUGGUCCAUUUUUUUAUCAACAUCCAUCAUUUUGCUGCCAUUUGACAAUUAUUUCGUUCGAAUCAAAGCUAGUACAAGAAAAUCCCGCCGAUAGCGAUUCGUGCUUUCCAUUCCCCGUCGGUGCUUCGAAUAUUUCUCACUUUUUCAACAAAAGCUCCCUAGCAUAAGUAGUUGGUGGCAGUUAAUCUUUCACCUCUGGAACAAUCGCCAAAAAUUAAUCAAAUCCCAUGUGCACGGCAGCUUUAUGAUCCAGCCAAAACAAACCAUUUUGGCAGGAAAUUGUGGAAUCAAAGGAAUCAAAGGAAGGCUUGCACAUGGAAGCCUUCAGACGUGCACACUCUAGCGUGCUGGUGGAGAUCCAGUUGUCUGGUUUCCGAUGGUCCGCGGUUGGGUGCGUCCGGCCUAUAUCCAUGGCCGUAGCCACAUUGGCCCACCACUUUCACCAAUGGAAGCCAUCAUAUCGUCCUCCGACAUCCGCGGUCAUUUGGAUACCCUUGGCUGUAUUCCCAACAAGUAGAAUUCCAGCAUCCAAGACCCUUUUUUUCUGGUCCGGAGAAGGACGUUGGUCCCAAUCGCAAAAAAAGAGGAGGAUGUUGGUCUCUGAGGACCCACAUUAAAUGAUAUAAACGAAACCUACCCUUCUCGGAUCUUUAUUUUACUGGCUUAUUACUUUGACAAACCCACGCCUGACCCGUCCGUGCUGCCGACUCUGCCGACCCCAUCCCGCUUAGAGAUAAGUACGGGACGAUGGAUGUUGAUCUAUGCAACCCACACCUAACUCAUUGCCAUCCUUAAGAGUCGGAGGAAGAAAAGAAAGAGAAAGACAGAUAUAGCUGGUUUGAUUUGGAUAAUUAUUUUUAAGAUUUUUUUUACAUAAAUAUUCUUCUAAAAAUUUAGAUUUGCAUUAAUACUUUUUUAAAAUUUAUAUUUAUUUCUAUACCCUCAUAAAAAAACUGUUUUUGCACAAAUGCCCCUAAUAUAACGGUUCUUUUAAUACCGUCAAUAAAAACCAUAUUUAAUUUAAUUAAAAAUAAAAUAAAAUUUUAAAAUUACUUUUUUGUCCUCCAUUACGAUCAUCUUAUAAAUGUUUCUUUUUUGCACAUCUACCCAUUAAGAAUAUUUUAGUUAUUUUAAUUUGAAAUCCUUAAUUUUUUAAUGGCAUUAGAUGAUGUGGGUACAUAUAGAAAAAUAAGAAUAAAAUAAAAUAAAAUAGCGAAAUAAGUAUUUUACGAAGGUAUACAUGUAAAUAUCAAUUUUAGAAGAGUAUUCAUGUAAAUUUAAUAUUUAGGAGGGUAUUCAUAUAAAAGAAAACUUUAUUUUUAAGUUGCAAAAGAAAUUUCUCUCAGAGGAAAGAGAGUGCCAAUUAGAAUGCUUUACUUUGUUAUUGUUUCAAAGCAAGUCAUGUAUAUAGAUGUGAUUUG